AAAACAACAAAAAUUCAUUUAAUACAACAAGAGGAGGAUUUUGGGGCAAAUCCCGGAGAUUUUGGGGGUUCCCGGCGGAUCCGGCCGCGCUGGGAUGAACCCCCAGCCCCACGCGCCAGCGCGGGGGAAAAACCGGAAUUUUGGGGGGUCCCCAGAGCCUUCCUGGGGUUUAUCCCGGUUUAUCCCGGGGUUUAUCCCGGUUUAUCCUGGGGUUUAUCCCGGUUUUCUGGGUUUAUCCCGGUUUAUCCCAAGGUUUAUCCCAGUUUAUUUGGGUUUAUCCCGGUUUUCUGGGUUUAUCCCGGGGUUUAUCCCAGGAUUUAUACCGGUUUAUCCCGGUUUUCUGGGUUUAUCC